GGGGUAUUAGCUCAGUUGGGAGAGCGCCACACUGGCAGUGUGGAGGUCAGCGGUUCGAACCCGCUAUGCUCCACCA
rnacentral:tRNA from 1 species